rnacentral:lncRNA from 1 species
AGAAUAUCUGGUGACGAGUUCUCCUCCAAUGUGCUGAAUGCUUUAAUCUCUUUUGACAGUUGACAAGAUGAUCUUUAAAGAACCUCACCUGUUUCUUGCUUCUUGAGUCACACAAGAUUUCGUUCUUCUGCCUAAUCAUCAAUAAAUGUUCACAGGAUGAAAGCAAAUGUGAUUGUACCCCACUCACUAUUCAAAUUCAAAGUUCUUGAUUGAUUAAAAGUGCCUGGAGUAUGUACUUGGUCAAACUGAUUUGUCCACUUCCAAAUUCCGUCACCGUCCUCUCUCUCUUUCAUCGGCUCCCCACCCCUCUGCUAAGCGCUAGCAAGAGAAUAUUUUACCCACUUUAUGAGCUGGUAUAUUUUAAUCUUUUUUGUUCUCAUCCUCCCCAGAAAAUAGUAGUACUCGCUACCUAGCAAAAGGAGUUUUUUUUUUUUUUUUAAACAGAGAAGUAUCGGUACUACUUCACCAUUUCCAGUGAGAACAGUAAUAUUUUAUCCAUUGGGUACUACUCAAUUAUCAAAUUCACUUUGCUACAUUAUAAAUUUUUAUAAAAACUGCAAUCCAAAGACGACCCACCUUCUUUCCUCUGCAGUCUGCACAUCCAAAGAUAGGUUGAGCUGAGGUGAGAACUGUGCCAGCCAAAAAGAAAGCGAAUCCCAAACACCACAGCAUCAAAACCUAUACCCUUUUUUGGUAGAAGAAAAAAGAAUCAUUUUUUGGGGUAGUUGAAUUGAAUCCCAUUAUUCAAUACUGCUACCAAGUUUCAAUCUUUCCUCACUUUUUAAUCAAAACCCAUCUCUCAAGUGUAGUUUAAUCAAGUGUAGUUUAAUUGACUGCAGAUUUGGCAGCUGUCUCCCUCUUUUAAUUAGUCUAGUGGCCAAGAGUGUAUCGAAUAAUGUAACGAGUAUGGGAUAAGUGAUUUGUUUAAUUUUUAAUGGUGAUCACUCUUAACAAGAUGUUUGUCUGGCCUAGAUUUGCGGGCUCAAUCUCUAGAUUUGUUGCUAAUAGUCCAAUGUGUAUUCAUAUUGAUAUUGAAUUUGGGUUGCAUUUGGUCAAUGUAGGGUCAGGGCAAAAUACAGGGAAGACAGUGGCUAUAAUAUUAGGAGGGGCAGCAGGAGUGGGGUUUCUGAUCAUUUGCCUGCUGUUUACUAAAAACUUAAUGAAGAAACAUGAUGGUAAGUAUGAUUAUUUAUGGUGGUGGAUUCCUGUGUACUAUCAUUUGCUUUUAUAGAUCUUUCUUUCUUAAUUUAUUCUAUCAUAAUUAUGGGUGUGCUGUUGUUGUGCAGAUUCUUGAAGGAGCCCUUGUUUUUGUAAAUUAAAAGUUUUUUGAGGUGAAUGGUUCCUCUGAGUUUGUUAUUUUUCUAGAGAUUGUGGAAGGGAGGAGAGGGGAAAGAAGUUAGUUUCGGGAAAACUUCUCACUGUUAGGCAGAAACAAAUUUUGGGGCAUGAAACUGAGGACGGGAUGCUUGCAUCUAAAAGGAGGAUGUAAGAUGUAUGCUUGUCGAGUCUGAAAAAGAUGAGGAAGAGUACUAAUGGAUCUUGGCCUUUUUCUCAUUUACCAUGUGCAUAUUUGUCUCUUUUCUUCCUUGUCUUGAAUACUGCUCCUCCAUUUUCCUCAAAACUUUUUUGCUUUUUAUAAAGCUCUCUCUCUCUCUCUCUCUCUCCCCCUCUGUGUGUGUGUGUGUUGUGUGUGUGGUGGUGUCUGGAAGUGUAACAUACUUAGGUUAUCAUUUAUCACCUUGUCAAAGAGUGUUUGUUCAGUACUCCUAUGUGUAUAUGUCUGCUACCUCAUUUGAUUCUGCUGAAAAAGGGAAAAGG